CAACCUGCCCACCACUUGGGGAUAACCUUGCGAAAGUAAGACUAAUACCCAAUGACGUCUCUAGAAGACAUCUGAAGGAGAUUAAAGAUUUAUCGGUGAUGGAUGGGGAUGCGUCUGAUUAGCUUGUUGGCGGGGUAACGGCCCACCAAGGCUACGAUCAGUAGGGGUUCUGAGAGGAAGGUCCCCCACAUUGGAACUGAGACACGGUCCAAACUCCUACGGGAGGCAGCAGUGAGGAAUAUUGGUCAUGGACGAGAGUCUGAACCAGCCAAGUAGCGUGCAGGAUGACGGCCCUAUGGGUUGUAAACUGCUCUUAUAAGGGAAUAAAGUGAGAGUCGUGACUCUUUUUGCAUGUACCUUAUGAAUAAGGACCGGCUAAUUCCGUGCCAGCAGCCGCAGUAAUACGGAAGGUCCGGGCGUUAUCCGGAUUUAUUGGGUUUAAAGGGAGCGUAGGCCGGAGAUUAAGCGUGUUGUGAAAUGUAGACGCUCAACGUCUGCACUGCAGCGCGAACUGGUUUCCUUGAGUACGCACAAAGUGGGCGGAAUUCGUGGUGUAGCGGUGAAAUGCUUAGAUAUCACGAAGAACUCCGAUUG
rnacentral:rRNA from 1 species